rfam:Erinaceus europaeus unplaced genomic scaffold scaffold00122, whole genome shotgun sequence
GGAUGUGAGGAUGAUCUGGCUGUGACAGAUCUGUCACCCCAUUGAUUGCCAGGGUUCAUUCGGCUGAUCUGGCUGGCUAGGUGAGCGUUCUCUUCCUCCCUCACUGCUCCAUGUGUGUCUCUUCCGAAGUUGUGCACUCAGUCAGGGAGGAUGGCCUUCCCCAAAUAGAGACUGACGCGUCCAGGGUAUACAAGUAGCUGCGCUACCCUGCUAGGACCUCCAAAAAAGCUCUCAUAAAAGCCCCACCCAUGAGUAAAGUCAUUCAGUAUUCCUCCUUUUUCUCCUUCUGGCUUAUCUCUCUUAAUUCCUCCAAGUUCCAUCCAAG